rnacentral:rRNA from 1 species
UGGGGAAUAUUGCACAAUGGGCGCAAGCCUGAUGCAGCCAUGCCGCGUGUAUGAAGAAGGCCUUCGGGUUGUAAAGUACUUUCAGUCGGGAGGAAGGUGGUAAGGUUAAUAACCUUAUCAAUUGACGUUACCGACAGAAGAAGCACCGGCUAACUCCGUGCCAGCAGCCGCGGUAAUACGGAGGGUGCAAGCGUUAAUCGGAAUUACUGGGCGUAAAGCGCACGCAGGCGGUUGAUUGAGUCAGAUGUGAAAUCCCCGGGCUUAACCCGGGAAUUGCAUCUGAUACUGGUCAGCUAGAGUCUUGUAGAGGGGGGUAGAAUUCCAUGUGUAGCGGUGAAAUGCGUAGAGAUGUGGAGGAAUACCGGUGGCGAAGGCGGCCCCCUGGACCAAGACUGACGCUCAGGUGCGAAAGCGUGGGGAGCAAACAGG